rnacentral:rRNA from 1 species
CGCGUAGGCGGAAAUGCAAGUCUGGUGUGAAAGACCGCAGCUCAACUGCGGGAGCGCGCUGGAAUCUGCAUAUCUUGAGUUCCGGAGGGGGAGUUGGAAUUCCUGGUGUAGGGGUGAAAUCUGUUGAUAUCAGGAAGAACACCGGUGGCGAAGGCGAACUCCUGGACGGAAACUGACGCUGAGGCGCGAAAGCGUGGGGAGCGAACA